CCUUUGAUAGCUCAGUUGGUAGAGCAGAGGACUGUAGAUCCUUAGGUUGCUGGUUUGAUUCCGGCUCAAAGGA